UACUAAAUACUUCUGUUAUUGGUGUCGCACAAUACAACUUUUACAGGACCUUAUGGUGGAUGAUGAAGCCUACACUCGUUCUUAGAGGAUUCCUUUCAAUGGAGAAUUGUGUGGUAAAGAACACCAAAAUUCUGCUAACAGAACUUCCCACGAAUCCACUGAAGAAUCGAAAAAAUGUUUGAAGUAAGUUUACUAAAAAUGACUGGACAUUGCUAGCCGUGAUAUCACACGAUAUCUGUUCAAGCUACUUGGUGUUAACACGUUUAAUCAAAUCGUUGCCUUUGAAACUGAUGAAAGAGAAAAUUCGCUAUAUUGCCUAUGACAUCGAGAUGGAACAGCGAGUAACGUUGGAAACAACUGUGCUUGUCCCGAAUUGUUUUUAACAAACGAAUUUUAUUAAUAUAAAAUUAGGUUUUUAGGCACUAUUCCAACCACAUUUAAUAAAUGUUGAAGGACAAGACAUCGCUGAGUUAGUGUUUAACACCAUACAAACGACCGAUAUCGAAAUACGACCGGCAUUAUACAAUCAUAUCGUGUCAUCUGGUGAUUCGUGUGCUCAAGAAUGAAGUGAAUAAAUCACCGGAAAAAAUUUAAAAUUCGUCUUGAAUAUCCACUACGACAAAUAAGUAGAUAUAUGUAAUCUUCAUCGGCGGCUGUUUUUUGGCUGAAAUCGCAAAGGAUCGCAAUGAUUUUAGAAGUACAUAUGUAUGUGUGAAACAAGAAAGAUAAGAAAAGUUUUACAGAAACUUACAAAGAGCUCACAGUUAUAGCAAGGGCCAAAAGUUAUUGAAAGAAAUUUAAUAUUGUUAAAUGUGGGAAAUUUAUUUAGACACGAAAAAAAUGGCGGCAGAACUGAAAGUUGACGAAAAAACCCAAGAAUCUGCGGCCGACAAACAAAACUCACUUUUCUAAAAAAUUAUUGAGCGGAUUUCAGCUGAGUUUGCUGUUUCCAGAAAAAGUAUGUGGUUUGAAAACCAAAGAAAUGGGAAAUCUUAUUGACUGUUUGAUAGAUAGAUUCAAAGGUUUUUUGGAUAAUGACAACGUCGAGAUGUGUUUGAAGCUCAAAGAUGAAGUUGAUCGACCUGGCGUUGCUGCACACGCAUCAUGACAUUAACGUCACUGCAGAAGAAGUUGUCGAAAGAUUCUCAAAACUUGGUCCACAACGUCUUGUUUUGUGUAAUUUUUCUAGUCAAUACACGAACUGACUACAGCAAUAUUAUACAUUGCAAUAAAGUAUGUGAGCCGCACGUCUACGCUUUAUAAUGCGUUUUUUAAUUUAGUAGGAUUUGAUAUCAGAAGGACGAUUUCAAAUGAUAUUAAACUGUAUAAAGACUAAUAUCAAUAAAUAGUAUACAAGAAAGUCGA